UACGUAGGGGGCAAGCGUUGUCCGGAAUCACUGGGCGUAAAGCGCGCGCAGGCGGUCAUCUACGUCUGGGGUGAAAGCCCGGAGCUCAACUCCGGGAUUGCCUUGGAUACGGGAUGACUUGAGGAUCGGAGAGGCAAGGGGAAUUCCACGUGUAGCGGUGAAAUGCGUAGAGAUGUGGAGGAACACCUGUGGCGAAGGCGGCUUCCUGGACAGUUACUGACGCUGAGACGCGAAAGCGUGGGGAGCAAACAGG
rnacentral:rRNA from 1 species